UGAGACUCUACAGUAUGUUCCUGAAUUCUUUUUAACCUCUUAACUUGUCAAAAGAGCAUUUCAAACCCUAGAUCUCAGGGGUCCCUGCCAGGCAUUUUCAAGUUUGAUUUUUGUGGGGAGGACAUCAACAAGUUAAAACCUAAAUGAGCAACAAACGAGGUGACGUGCGUUAUCAGUUUUGUCUUCCAUGUCUUCCUCAUCCUGCUGUUUGCUCCACGGCUCUUGACAGGAUGGAGACGAGGAAAGAACUUCCACAUCCACAUUCAAAACGUCUGCCAGAACUCCCUCAGGCAAGAUUUUUAUGUGUAUGGUCAUUUCAAGUGAAUUUUGUAUACAGAGCAAGGCGAUUACUUUAAAACAUGAAAGAAAUUGCACCUUUUCCUUAAGGGCAAGAUGGUGCUGUGGGCUUUCCUCUCUCCUGAUGAGAUGAUGCAAAUGGACUCCAUAGAGAAACGCUGCCCGUGUAACAAUGCAGUUACGCAACCCGGUGCAUGACACAUGAAUUGCAGCGCACCUGAGAUCCUGAUGAAAUCCUGGGAGCCUGGAGCUGUCAAACAUGGUUUUAAAAAAUAAAGGGAAUACACCCAGCCCACACCCUGACUUUACAACCUUUAAUUAAUUAGAGGAAAGAAAGAGAGAUUUGUCUGGUUUCAUGACUUCAACUUUCCACCUGGAAUAUGAAGCUCCUGCUCUUCCCACCUCCUUUUCUUCUCUCUCUCUCUCUCAGGUUUUUAAAUUUCUAUUUCCAGUUCUGCCACCAAAAAUAGAUUGCAAAUAUAUUCUGCAUAAUUCCGAGGCUACACUAUAAAUGUUGGAGUGCUACUACUUGUAUAAUAGUCACAAAUGAACGCACGAGUGGGCAC
rnacentral:lncRNA from 1 species